rnacentral:rRNA from 1 species
CCCAAUUUUCAGAGUGAACACGUAAUUCAUUACGAAGUUUAAUUCUUUGAGCAUCAAACUUUUAAAUUGAAGAGUUUGAUCAUGGCUCAGAUUGAACGCUGGCGGCAGGCCUAACACAUGCAAGUCGAACGGUAACAGGAAGCAGCUUGCUGCUUCGCUGACGAGUGGCGGACGGGUGAGUAAUGUCUGGGAAACUGCCUGAUGGAGGGGGAUAACUACUGGAAACGGUGGCUAAUACCGCAUAACGUCGCAAGACCAAAGAGGGGGACCUUCGGGCCUCUUGCCAUCAGAUGUGCCCAGAUGGGAUUAGCUAGUUGGUGAGGUAACGGCUCACCAAGGCGACGAUCCCUAGCUGGUCUGAGAGGAUGACCAGCCACACUGGAACUGAGACACGGUCCAGACUCCUACGGGAGGCAGCAGUGGGGAAUAUUGCACAAUGGGCGCAAGCCUGAUGCAGCCAUGCCGCGUGUAUGAAGAAGGCCUUCGGGUUGUAAAGUACUUUCAGCGGGGAGGAAGGUGUUGUGGUUAAUAACCGCAGCAAUUGACGUUACCCGCAGAAGAAGCACCGGCUAACUCCGUGCCAGCAGCCGCGGUAAUACGGAGGGUGCAAGCGUUAAUCGGAAUUACUGGGCGUAAAGCGCACGCAGGCGGUCUGUCAAGUCGGAUGUGAAAUCCCCGGGCUCAACCUGGGAACUGCAUUCGAAACUGGCAGGCUUGAGUCUUGUAGAGGGGGGUAGAAUUCCAGGUGUAGCGGUGAAAUGCGUAGAGAUCUGGAGGAAUACCGGUGGCGAAGGCGGCCCCCUGGACAAAGACUGACGCUCAGGUGCGAAAGCGUGGGAGCAAACAG